rnacentral:rRNA from 1 species
UGGGGAAUUUUCCGCAAUGGGCGAAAGCCUGACGGAGCAAUACCGCGUGAGGGACGAAGGCCUGUGGGUUGUAAACCUCUUUUCUCAGGGAAGAAGAUCUGACGGUACCUGAGGAAUCAGCAUCGGCUAACUCCGUGCCAGCAGCCGCGGUAAGACGGAGGAUGCAAGCGUUAUCCGGAAUUAUUGGGCGUAAAGCGUCCGCAGGCGGUCUCGUAAGUCUGUCUUUAAAGCGUGGAGCUUAACUCCAUAAAGGGGAUGGAAACUGCGAGACUAGAGGUAGGUAGGGGUAGAAGGAAUUCCCAGUGUAGCGGUGAAAUGCGUAGAUAUUGGGAAGAACACCAGCAGCGAAGGCGUUCUACUGGACCAAACCUGACGCUCAUGGACGAA